AUAUCACAAGCCUACUUUAGACGUGUAAAAACCCUACUGAUGGAAAAUAUCGAGAAACAUGAGGCAAAUAGGUGCCCCUGCUACCAAAAUAUAAUUCUGUGCAAAUAAUGGAGUAACAUAGGGUGCUUCUGCAUUAAUUGCCUUCCUGGUCUUUGCGGUGUUUCAUGAGGUGUGUGGUUCAUCUCUGUUCCUCUCUCCCCAAUUGUCCUCUCUCCCUUUUGGUAGUUUGUUAUAAUUUGUCAUUGAGUAAACGUUUAUAAAGUUGAAUUUAAUCUUUAUUUUGCAAAACUAA